CAAGUUCUGGCCAAGCGCUCACCAUUCUGCAGAAUAAGGAUCAGAACUUUACAGAGGUAAACUGUGUCUGUUCUUUUUACUAUUACAGCAGUUCAUCGUGGCCCUGUCAUUCGCCUCCUUCACCAAAGCUCUGUCAGGGACCUACAUGAAGAGUGCCAUCACUCAGAGAGACACUUUGACCUGUCCAGCUUUCUCAUCGGACUCAUAGACGGCAGCUUUGAGAUGGGUAUCAACAAUAACAUUGAGUUGCUUGAGAAUUCAUGUAUUUAAAACCAGAUACAAACUACAGUAUGAUACAUUUUUUGUUGUGGUUCAAUCAGAGUCUGCUCUCAAUACUGUCCAGUUUUAUAGUUGUUCCUAUUAAUUGAUUGACUGGCGUUUGUCCAUAACUCUACUGUCAAACCCCUAACAUUGCUAUGUUGUUGCAGCCUAGUAUCCAAACUGAUAUGCCAUUUUUUUUUUUUUUUUAAACUGUGUUUAUAAUUUGCGAUUCCUGGCUACUGUAGUGUUGUGGUUUCUUGCAGGUAACCUGCUGUUCCUGGCUGUGGUCAGCCAUUUUUGGGCGAAGCUGCACCGGCCCAGGCUCAUUGCUAUGGGCUGUUUCCUCAUGGCUGUAGGAUCCUUCCUCACAGGCCUGCCACACUUCUUCAUGGGACGGUUGGACCCAGGUGCAGAGAAGAGACCAGAAGAUGAAGCAGUGGUUCCAACCAGUGUCUCCACUCCUCAAGGGCCCACUUAACUGCCAAGAGCUCCCGGUUGCCUACGUGGUAGUUGCCUUCCGCUGGUCGAGAUCCGCUUGGAGAGAAAGGUGCAUGAGUGCAGUGUCUUGUCCUCCUCGUUCGCUGUGAAAGGACCGCCCCAGCUCCGGUGUCCGAGGCCUCUACCACAAAGGGACGAGUAGGAUCAGGAUGAACGGGGAAGGGUCCGGAGGUGAAACGUCCCUUGAGCUCUAUGAAUGCCCUGUCAGCCUCGGGAUUCCAGCAAAAACCUGCUUGAGUGAGGUGGGACAGGGCUGUAUGUGUUCCGGAAGGGUUUUUGGGGAAGAUCAGGAUGUCGUCGAGGUAAACAAAGACGAACCGAUUCAACAUUUCCAUAAGAGUGUCAUUGAUCAAUGCCUGAAAGACUGCUGGUGAGUUAGAUAUUCCGAAGGUCAUGACUAGAUACUCAGUGACCACUAGGGGUGUUAAAGGCAGUUUUCCACUCAUCUCCCUGAUUCUCACCAGAUUUUAAGCGUUGCGGAGGUCCAGUUUGGUGAAGAAUUGGGCUCCUAGGGCCAACUCCAAGUUUGGGUCAGAGACAGAGAGACAAGGGAUGCGUUUAGACAGGCAGCCCAAAUAUGAUAUUUGUUCCACUAAUUGGUCUUUUGAACAAUCACAUUAGAUAUUUUCGCAUCAGCUCUUUUUCAGAGCAUAUCUGAUUGGUAAAAAUACAAAUUACAAAAACAAAUGGCUGAAUUGGGCUGCCUGUCUCAACGCAGCCAUAGAAACCUGGACAUGCUCCAACUGAAAUGUUCCCUCCUGUCAGUACUGAUGUUGAAUGGCAUUAAAUACACCUUUUUUUGUUCUCUCCCAUCCCCUGUAGGUUUGUUGAACAUGAGUGGAAAUGAAACUCCAGCACACUGUUAGCACUAAAGACGUGUGAGUAUAACUUUUCCAGGUGAGUUGAACCUGCCUGUGGGUGCGGUGGGGACAUUCCUGGAAGGUCUACUGAUGAAGAGGUAUAAGCUAGGCGUUGUGUCUGGAGCCCAGCUGUCUUUCGUCCCCUCCUUCAUGGCCUACCUCCUCCUCCCUCUGCAGUCUGGCACUAAGUGUGACAACGUUCAGGUGGCUGGUCUGACCGUGUCCUACAACGAGUCCCCUGGUAUAUGAUGGUAGCCUGUUGUCAGAGUGUAACAGAGACUGCUCCUGCUUGGCUGGGGAGUGGGACCCUGUGUGUUCAGACAAUGGCAUCACCUACACCUCCCCCUGCCUCGCAGGCUGCUCCAGCUCUACAGGUUAUGGCAAGAACACGGUACCAAUACUAUUAAUGUACUGAGUGUACAAAACAUUCACAGGGAUGCUGGCCCAUGUUGACUCCAAUGCUUCCCACAGUUGUGUCAAAUUGGCUGUAUUGUCUUUUGAG